rnacentral:rRNA from 1 species
UACAGAGGGUGCAAGCGUUGUUCGGAAUUAUUGGGCGUAAAGCGCGUGUAGGUGGCUUACUAAGUCUGGUGUGAAAGCCCGGGGCUCAACCCCGGAAGUGCACUGGAUACUGGAAAGCUAGAGGGCGAGAGAGGAGAUUGGAAUUCAUGGUGUAGGGGUGAAAUCCGUAGAUAUCAUGAGGAACAUCUGUGGCGAAGGCGAAUCUCUGGCUCGUUUCUGACACUGAGACGCGAAAGCGUGGGGAGCAAACAGG